GGGGUCGAUUGGUUUCGACGGUGAUCUGUUCGCUGUAGAGAAGCGUGCCGAGAACGCGGGGUCCACUCGUUAACGUGCCACCCGUAAAAAAUAAGUGCUAAAUCUAAUCGCACUGAGUUUGCACUCGCUGCCUAAGCUUCGCGCUAGGGUUUAACCAGCUGAGUGUUCAACUCCGUUCACUCUCUCAUGUCUUUGGGGAGAUGCUGAACGUCAUGUAAAGACUUGCUUUAUGUGCUGAGUUUCAGGGCAUAUAAAGGACUUUUACUGCAACUAUUCCUGCAAACCGUGGUUUGCGACGAUGUUUGAGGAAGACAAAUUGCCAUAAGGUCAGCAAACUACGCACGUAGAAGGCUAGAGGUACGGUCAUCGGACCCGGGUUCAAUUCCCGGCGGCUCCACGA
rnacentral:tmRNA from 1 species